rnacentral:lncRNA from 1 species
AUAAGCACAAUUUGAUACAUAGAAUAAUGAAUUGGCACAAAAUAGAAGUUCUAAGGAGCAAGCCAAUUAAAACUCAUUAGUGAAGUUCAAAAAUAGAUUUUCUAAGAGAUACUCGACAAAAUUUAAUACAUUGUUCUCCCCCUGUUUCAUUAAAUUGGAGGCUCUUAAGAUUUGUAAUUUGGUUCAUGAGUGAUGCAUAAGAUAUACUAACCAAAUAACACGCCUCAAGGUGUAUCAUAAAGAUUUUCAGAUUUAAGUUUCAGAUGAUACAUAUUGGAGAGUAUUAGGAUUACUUUUCAUUUAGUAUUCUUUCUCUCUCCUUUAGCUAUAGAUUUAUGCAAUUAAGUCCAAUAAGACCUCUCCUUCUGAAAUUUUCUUUN